GUGUGUGUGUGUGUGUGUGUUAUGGAUGAAGGGGGUAACAAUAGGAAAUGCUACACCUCUUGUCUGCUGUCAUUUGCGGCCCAGCGGAGGCGCCAGGCGGCUCUGGAUGGUUGGAUGGAGAGAGAGAUAAUCUCAGCGACCCGCCUCAAUACACCGCGCGCUGUGAGAUGAUGGAUCGGGACGUUGAGAAUCAGCGGGGCUGCUGCAGACUUCAAAUAGCAGCUUUCCUAUGUCCACCAACAACAAGCAUCCGUCCUCCUGCACUGCUGCUCUGCACCUGACCUUGACCUUUGACCUCCACAGGGAGAAAAACUGAAUUAGAUAUCAGACUACACUAAAUCCUAACACGUCACUCCAUUCGGAGAAAAAAAAAAGUCACGACACUUUGCUGCUCUCCUGGGCCGAGCUGGGGCACCUGGGAGCUCAGCUGUCGCAGGAUGUUGGGGGGAAAAGAAGCCCCCACAAGCUCUCCCUCAGGACCAACCAGACCCACAGCCAGCAGCCGGACAUAUCUUUGGAAACUCCUGGAUCUCCACUACAAUUCAAAAUGACUGUGUUGCUUCUCCUCUGAUAUGAUCUGUCCCUAAGCUGCAACCUGUAUCCUUUUGUGGCAGAAAAUGUCUUUCCAAUCUUUUAAUGUACAGUUUAUUCUGAAAUAACGUGGCAAAUUGCAUUGUUGAACCUCCUUUUAAACUUCUCUGAGUGUCAGAAUGAUCAUUUUCAAUCAUUUCUGUCUUCAUACUCUGCUUUUAAAAACCUGCUGUCCUGCUGAUGUGCACUGUGAAGACAGUCGCCCCCUGGUGGAGAGACUCUGUAGCAUCCUCCUGACACUGAGAGAUGGAGAUGUUUGGUGCUCUUGCUGUUGCUCAGCAUUGCAUGCAAAGUUAAGGACAAACACACGCACAUGCACUUGACCACACACACUCAAUCCAGUUCCCAUCAGUCGCUGGCAAGGCCAUGUCAGUUCCCCUAAGAAAGUGGCCCUGGAGACCCAAAAAUAGGAGUUGACUGUUCUCAGAGUUGGGCCAUCUUGCAGCCCAGUAGCCUUGACAGCUGGCGGCUGGCAUGGCAACAAUGAAGCUAUCAGUCACGCAAGAGUGGACACCUCCCAGCACACAGUUCAGGGAUACUAGCUUGUAUCUGCACAACAUGACUGUACAGUCAGUGAAAAAGUGGUAAUGUCGCACUGAACAGAUAAAAUACACCUUUCAUGUAUUAUCUAACGGCACAUUAUACUCUUAAUGUUUUGUCUCUGAUGUCUCUUUUCAACUGUUUUUGAUUUAUUCUUUUUUCAAGGCAGACAAUGAAUGUGCUGGUUGAAUUUAUUGCUUUGCAGUGAGAGGAAAGGAGAGAAGAGGAGGCGGCAAAAAAACCUGAAGCGUGGCAUCAAACUUUUGUGCUGCAGUCCCAGGAUUGUUGUGGAUCUCAUGUUGAUGCUGCUCGCUGCAGAAAAGCCAGAAAGCUCCUGGGAUUUCUAAUUUACCCAUCUGUCGUGGAUCUUUGCAGAAAGCUGGUGGAUCGAUGCAGCUCAGACAAAUGAAGGAGCAACAGGUAAAGUGAAAAGGACGCCUCCCUAAGCAAACCUUGAACCUAAUUCAUUUCUUGAGGGAAAUUUAGGAGCAAACUUCUGUUAGUAAAACCACUUUUUUUGACCUUAAGCGCUCCUCGUCCCCUCUCCACUUUGGAGCGGAGGCCUGAUGACAGGACAGGCCUCUGGUCAAACAAACAGCAGACACGCUGCUGCUAAAGGCUGUCAGUCAACAGUCCCCUCCCACUGUGACCUCUGACCCAGCCAGCCACCUCCACCCACCUCCUCCUCACAGACCCAGGUCCUGUUUGUUGAUGUGUAUGCAGUAACAUGGAUCACUUCUUGUCAGACUCAGCACGGUUGAAGAAGGCAGUGAGGGAGUGCUGUGUGUGCAUGCACUGAGACGUACAGUACACACACACACACACAUACAAACCUACACUUUCCGUAAGGUCUUGAUCCUGGCUUAGCAGCGUAAAUUAGCGUGUUGACAAGUUGUUGUGCGCACACGUUUGACAGAGCAGGAAAUGGGACCUAUAGCUCGCUGACAAACCACACCCCAUUAACUGUCAAUGGCAAACCACCUCCACAGAGACACAGAGACCAGGAGGUGAUGACCAAAGAGGCUUCCAGGGACACUCAGAGGCCCCCAGGAGGCUGAGAGGUUCCCUUCAAAAACAUGUCAGCAGCAGCUCUCUGUUUGCUACUGAUGUGUCAAUUAGUGUUGUUAGUGUUUCACCCUCAGCAGGAGCUGUUAUUUCGUUUUUAAAAGUAUUUCGAGGAACAUUUUACGCCUUUAUUGAAGGGUAGAGAUGAGGAGAGAGAGGUGAGAAAUGAAGACUCAGAUGGACCUGAACCAGGACUGAUGAGACCACAUGGCCAGUGCCCUUCAAGCCAUCAGUGUACCCCAGCUUUUAUCCAUAUUCAGCACCACAAAUUACACCUGACAAACAAUCACCAUGCACAGAAUUUGUGUGUGAUUAUUUCAUCUUUGAUGGCAUUAAAUACCAGCUGUGGUGAAAACUGGUGCAGCCCUUGUGAUCUUGUGAUGCUUUCUGUGCCAUUCAUGUCCCCAGGUAGGAUCCUGUUCACCGUGACAAUGUGAAAGCUGAAUCUCCAGCUCCCCUCGCCUUUGGUGAGUUUCAGCUCAUUGUUCAUCUGUCUGCCCCACAGCUUGACUGUUCUGGUUCACUCUCACUGCUCUUAUUAGCUCUAGAAACUGAACAGAGCACUAAAGCUUGGUUUAUACUCAGCAGACAGGAAAAGUUAGAGCUGGUGUUUAGAAGCAACAUAUCAUAUACACAAACUUAUAUCAACUUAUACAGGGGUGAUACUGAAUGUUAAAAUGUUCACAACUUGUUUUGACUGCCUCCAAAUGGCCAAAAAAUCAGUGGUAUGUUAACUUAACUUACCUUAACUCAGGCUGAAGUUGGGGAGCUCAGCCACUCCUCCUCCCCUCCUGCAGACUAUGAAGAAAUAAGUUAACCAGGGAUGAAUAUAAAAUGUGUUUCUGCAUCUGUCUUUGACAUUUGCUUGCUUGUGUUCCACAUCUGCUGAGUGUAUCCAUGUGUUUUUUACGGGUACGUCAGUGUGCAUUCGCUUAUGUGAGGGACAUAUGUUGAUGUGUAUAUCUAGAUGUGCAAAUGCAUUCCUGUGUGUAUCUUCAUGUGUGUGUCGGAGCUUGUUGGAGUGUGUGUUUGUAUGUGUGUUACUGAGCAUGAGCAGGCAGAAUCUCCCACUAAGCAGCUGUCAGAGCAGCACUGGCUAUCGUCUUCCCCGGGGGGUCGGCCUGUCAGCUCGUCCCGCUGACGGCUCUCCUCUCCUUUUAGCCUCGCCUCGCUUGGCCCGGGGGGGCGGUUGAGAUGUGUAUGUGUGUGCAUGUCCUGCUCCUGCUGGGGCCCUGGCAAAUCUGAUAAUUACUGACCUGACAAUGAAACCCCCCGACACCCCCAAACACCCACCGAAACCCCUGCGCCCAGAC